CCCUUGGAGUGUUAUAUCAUCAAACGAGAGUAGUUUAGACAAAAUCGGACACGAUGAACAGGGAA
rnacentral:sRNA from 16 species